rnacentral:rRNA from 1 species
AGAGUUUGAUCCUGGCUCAGAACGAACGCUUUCGGUAUGCUUAACACAUGCAAGUUGAACGGGCUAAUUUAGGGCUUGCUCUAAAUUAGCUAGUAGCAGACGGGUGAGUAACGCGUGGGAAUCUUCCCAUCAGUACGGAAUAACAUUUAGAAAUAAAUGCUAAUACCGUAUAUUCUCUUUGGAGGAAAGAUUUAUCGCUG